AGACAUGUAAUUUGAGUAUGCAAGGGUUUCUGCAGUGAGACAAGCCCUCAGCACCCACAACUCCACGAUUCAGUUACUUUACCAAAACCGGUCCCUAACCGAGGGAAUCUCCGUUGCCGGAGAAACCGGGCUAGGACUUUAAACUCUCGUUUGGCGAAGUCGCUAACAAUGGAGUACAGGAUAUGAGGAAGAAGACACUGCCUUGCCCGGUUUGAACCUUAAUUAGUGGAAAUUCUGGGGGUGGUUCAACUUUGCAAUUAAAUUGUUUAUUCAAUUAUAAAAAUAAUGAAGAUAAUAAAUCUGUAGAUCUAAAAUGAUGAGAUGAGAUCAAUGAAGAUCAUGAAGAGAAAUCCGCAUUUUAAUAAAUUAGAGUAAACCAUUAUUUUGGUCGUGUAUUUUGUUGUCACAUAUCAAAAUUGUCUCUUUUAUUAUUGAUGAUUUUUGUGUCAAAU
rnacentral:lncRNA from 1 species